AUUGUAGUUAACAUACCAACCUGGACUCCUUGGGCAGGUGAACCGUAUGAUUGUAGUUAACAUACCAACCUGGACUCCUUGGGCAGGUGAACCGUAUGAUUGUAGUUAACAUACCAACCUGGACUCCUUGGGCAGGUGAACCGUAUGAUUGUAGUUAACAUACCAACCUGGACUCCUUGGGCAGGUGAACCGUAUGAUUGUAGUUAACAUACCAACCUGGACUCCUUGGGCAGGUGAACCAUAUGAUUGUAGUUAACAUACCAACCUGGACUCCUUGGGCAGGUGAACCGUAUGAUUGUAGUUAACAUACCGACCUGGACUCCUUGGGCAGGUGAACCGUAUGAUUGUAGUUAACAUACCAACCUGGACUCCUUGGGCAGGUGAACCGUAUGAUUGUAGUUAACAUACCAACCUGGACUCCUUGGGCAGGUGAACCGUAUGAUUGUAGUUAACAUACCAACCUGGACUCCUUGGGCAGGUGAACCAUAUGAUUGUAGUUAACCAACCUGGACUCAGGGAUUGAAGUGAACGUAAAUCUGUCUCUCUCCAUUUAGUGUAAUAUGUUACGUUUCGUAUGUAUUCAUCUGUGGAUGUUCAUCAUUCAUUUCGUAUGAUGUUACUAAUUGCAACCCAGAUUCACCUGGUCAGUCUGUGAUGGAAAGAGCAGGUGUUCUUAAUGUUUUGUACACUCAGUGUAUGUACAGUAUAGGGGA